GAUGAACGCUGGCGGCGUGCCUAAUACAUGCAAGUCGAGCGAACGGACGAGAAGCUUGCUUCUCUGAUGUUAGCGGCGGACGGGUGAGUAACACGUGGAUAACCUACCUAUAAGACUGGGAUAACUUCGGGAAACCGGAGCUAAUACCGGAUGAUAUUUUGAACCGCAUGGUUCAAAAGUGAAAGACGGUCUUGCUGUCACUUAUAGAUGGAUCCGCGCUGCAUUAGCUAGUUGGUAAGGUAACGGCUUACCAAGGCAACGAUGCAUAGCCGACCUGAGAGGGUGAUCGGCCACACUGGAACUGAGACACGGUCCAGACUCCUACGGGAGGCAGCAGUAGGGAAUCUUCCGCGAUGGGCGAAAGCCUGACGGAGCAACGCCGCGUGAGUGAUGAAGGUCUUCGGAUCGUAAAACUCUGUUAUGAGGGAAGAUCAUAUGUGUAAGUAACUGUGCACAUCUUGAGGGUACCUAAUCAGAAAGCCACGGCUGACUACGUG
rnacentral:rRNA from 1 species